rnacentral:rRNA from 1 species
UACGAAGGGGGCUAGCGUUGUUCGGAAUCACUGGGCGUAAAGGGCGCGUAGGCGGCUUUGUAAGUCGGGGGUGAAAGCCUGUGGCUCAACCACAGAAUUGCCUUUCGAUACUGCAUGGCUUGAGACCGGAAGAGGUAAGUGGAACUGCGAGUGUAGAGGUGAAAUUCGUAGAUAUUCGCAAGAACACCAGUGGCGAAGGCGGCUUACUGGUCCGGUUCUGACGCUGAGGCGCGAAAGCGUGGGGAGCAAACAGG